GGCACGCACAAAAGGCAGCCCCAGGUUACCGCAGCCUCUCAGGUAGGGACCAAAGCUGCUAUUUGUCAUCAUUAAGGGACUGGGCCAUUCUUCCUCCUCCUGUCCUCUAAUCACUGGCAGGGAAACUUGCCUGGAAAAAAAAAGUAGGACAAAGAACAACUCAAAGUUCUGGACUUAGAAAGAACAGACUGACCGUGGUGACUGCAAGAGCAGAUGGACCACGCAGUUUCCUGUUAUCCUGACACCAAGGAAGCUUGAAGAGCACCAUGGGGAAAGAUUGAGGACACUAUGGACACUAACAAGUAUCAAUGGCUUUUUCAGAUUUAUAUACCCAUUACUCUGGGUACUGGCUUUACACGAACAGGUAAUAUCCCUUAUACCUACGCCGUACAUCUCCUGUUUCCUGCUCUCAAGACUCCUCGGUUGACUGAAAAGCUUGGAAAGCAAUGGGACCCAGCUAAGCACCAAUAAAGCACAACUGAGAAUUACACAAUCUUGGGUGAAACACUGAUAAACGGGAAGCAGGAACUAUAUUUACUGUGUGAUCCUACUGUGCGCAAGUGUCGUCCACGAUAUCUCACCUCAGCUGAAGGAAGUAAAUUGACUUAUCUUCCCGAGCUUGUCUUUCACUGCUGUGUGGAACAAUGGCAGAGAAAAAUCUCAAAUUUUGAGGCACUCAAUGAAAAGUGGUAAAGGUGACUGCUUCUUUAAAUAAAAAGAUAACAAUGCAAGACUUCAAAUAACAUGAGAAAACAAGAAAACAUGACACUACCAAAAAAACAUAAAAAGUUUCCAGUAACCAACCACAAAGAAAUGGAGAUCUACAAAUUCCCUGAUGAAGAAUUCAAAGUAAUGGUUUUAAGGUAGGUUACAAGCUAAAAAGAACACAGAUAAACCACUCAAAAAGUCAGGAAAAAAAUAUAUGAAUAAAAUGAGAAGUUCAGCAAAGAGACAGAGUCAUAAAAAUAAUCAAAUAUUCUUGAGCUGAAGAAUACAAUGAAUGAAAUGAAAAACAUAUAAUAGUGUCAGUGAUAGCCUCCAUCAAGAAAAAGAACUGGUGAACUUGAAGAAAGGGUCAUUUGGGUUUAUGAAGUCAGGAGAUGAAAAAAAAAAGAAUAAAAAUGAGUGAAAAAAGCCAACUGAAUAUAUGAAAUAGCAUCAAUAUACUAUAUACACUUAUGGGAGAUAUGCACUAAAGGAAGAACAGAGAGAGAAAAGAGCAGAAAGCUUAUCUGAAGAAAUAAUAGCUGAAAAUGUCCUAAAUUUUGGUAGAGAUAUGAACAUCCAGAUAUAUGAAGCUCAGAAGUCCCUAAAUAGAAUCAACACAAAGUGGAUUACACCAUGACAGUUUAUAAUCAAAUUUUUAAAAAUCACAAAGAGAGAAUUUUGUAAGCAGGAAGAGAAAAGCAAGUCAUCACAUACAGGGGAAAACCCAUAAGGCUAUCUGGUGAAUCCUCAGCAGAAACCUUGCGUGCUAGGAGAGAGUGGACAAUAUAUUCAAAUAUCUGGGGGAAAAAAACCUGCCAACCGAGAAUACUAUAUUCAGCAAAUGUGUCCUUCAAAAUAAGGGAGAGAUAAAGACUUACAUAUACAAACAAACGCUGACGGUGUUCAUCACCACUAGAUGUGUCUUUACAUAUAAUGAUAAAGGGAGUCCUCUAAGUUGAAACAAUAGGAUGCUAAUUAGUUAUGGAAAAACACACAGAAUGUAUAAACCCCCUGGUAUAGGUUAAAUAUGCAAAUUAAGAAUACACUAAUACUAUAUAUAUUGGGGAUGCACAAAACACUUUUAACUCUAGCAUACAAGUUAAAAGACAGUUACUAAAAAUAACUAUAGCUAAAAUAAUUUGUCAAUGGAUACACAAUAUUAAUAGAUAAAAAUUGUGACAUCAAUAAUAUAAAAUGUGGAGGGUUAGUAAAAGUGUAGAAGUAUGCAUGUGAUUGAAGUUUAGUAGCUAUACGCUUAAAAUUGACUUACAAGUAAGAUGUUUUAUGUAAGCUUCAGGCUAAUCACAAGAAAAAACUAUAGUAAGUACACAAAAGAUAAUGAGAAAAGAUUAAAUGUAUACUACUAAAGAAAUGAUAAAAUCAUGAAAGAGGGCAGAAAAACAAGAAAGAAAAAGAACUAUAAAUCAGAAAACAAUUAACAAAAUGAUAAUAGUUAAGUCCUUUCCUACCAAUAAUUCCUUAUAAUGUAAACGGAUUAAAAGAUAAAGAAUGGGUGAAUGGAUUAAAAAAAGGACCCACCAAUACUGCUGCCUGCAAGAGGCUUGUUUCAGGCUAAAGGGCACACAUAGGCAGAGCAUGAGCAGAAGGAAAAAGAUGCUCUGGGAAAAUGGUAGCCAAAAGAGAGCAGGGAUGGAUAUACUUAGACAAAAUAGACUUUAAGUGAAAAACUGUCACAAAAGACAAAGUCAUUUAUAAUGUUGAUUCAUCAAGAGGAUAUUACAAUUAUAAGUAUAUGUGCACCUAAAAUUGUAGCUCCUAAAUAGAUAAUGUUUACAGAUAUCAAAUGUUACAGAUAUCAAGUGUUAACAGAUAUCAAAGUAGAAAUAGAUAGCAAAACAAUAAUAGUAGGAGACUAACUGCCAUAAUUUCUAUCAAUGAUAGAUCACCCAGAUGUAAAAUCAAUGAGAAAACAGCAGACUUGAAUAAUACUGUAGAUCAAAUAGAUCUAACAUAUAUAAAACAUUCUAUUCCAACAAAAGCACAACACACAUUCUUCUUAAGUGUACAUGGGACAUUUUCCAGGAUAGAUUGUAUUUAAGGACACAAAGUUUGACAAAUUUAAUUCUCCUGAUCCCCAUCACAAUAGUUGGCAGGGGGCACUGACUUUUUAAAAAUUCUACAUUAUACUUUGUUAAUCUACUAUAUUGAUUCACUAUGCUAAUUGGACCUGGUAGGGAGGAUGUUUCAAGCACUUUAGUCAUUUUUCUAUGACUUCCAUAUUCUAAAAUAUUAUGGCUUUAGAAAACUAAUUGCAAUCCCUUUUUAUAUAUUUAACUCUUUAACCUAACCUUGUAUAGUUCUAUCUUGAAAAGUUAAUUUUUUUCUAAAUUUCUAAUUAUUUAUUCUAGACUUAUUAAGUAAACCCCAAGCUCUGUUAAUUUCAAAAGAUCUUCUCGAAUAUGUUAAAUUCAUGUGCAGUCUAUUCUAUUACCUAUUUUCUAUUUUGUAUAGCUAUUUUAUCCAGUACUUUAUGUGUUAAUUUACAAAAACAUAUUUAAAUUUAUUUCCAUUUUACUUUUUCUUAAUAUCCAUUGAUAUUCUUGUCUGUUUAAGCUUUCAAAAAAUGUUUAUUGUCUCAUUAUAUAGGUUCAAGAAAAAACAUUUUAGAUUUAGUAGUGAAAUCACAUGACUUCUACAAAUUGGGGAAAUUGAAAUCUUUGUAAUUAGACUCAUUCAUAAUAGAAGUUUCUGCAUUUAUUUUAUAUAUUCCAUACAUUAUUAUUAUUUUAUAUAAAUUAUGCACAUUUUUCAUUGGGUUAAUCACUAAAAACUUUGUAUUAUUCCCUCUGUGGAUGCAAUCUAUAUUAACUAAUAACAUAUUUUAUUAAGAAACAUGAAUGAAUAAAGCAAACUAGGAAAUAAACUGUGGAAAAAAUAUGUUGUAGUUUGUAUGUAAAUCUGUACUUUAUAAAUAUAUAUAUACUUUAGUGUGUGGAAAGGGAGAGAAACAAUAAUAGUGAGGGUCCUUGACAUUACACGGAGAAAGAAUUGAAAAGCAAGAGUAGCCUGCACAGAUGAGACAUUACAAGUUUCUUCUAUUGGAAAGUUUUUCAUGUGGAUAGAAUAGAUAUAUUUGUGGUCAUGAAAAAUACAAUUGUACCAUGAAUAGAAAUCUCAAGGUCACAGUUGUUGAAGAGUAUUCUGUUAAAUUCAUGUAAAGCAAGCAGAAGCUGCCCUAGAAAGUUAAUGGGCUAAUUCCCUGCCCUUGCAUUGUGCAAAGGGAGGCUGAAAUCGCUUGGAAGGGUAUUUAUGAAACAGAUGCUAGGUAGUGGUAUUUUGAAUUUCUUUCAAUUGUAAAUCAUUGAUCUUGUGGUGUAGGUUAUUUACUCUUUACUUUAAUGUUUUCCUAAUCCCACACACAAAAUUGAUCUUAAAACAGCAUGGUAGAUCAUCAUUUCCGUGACUGCAUUACUGCAGCUCUUAGUUCAGUAGGCAUUUUGCUAGUAAAUGUAAAGUUGCACUUCAAAGUAGGAUAUCCUUUGAGGACACAGUCUUAUUUAAAUUCCUUCAGAGUUUAUUUUAAAACUAAUGGUUUCAGCUUAUGUUUUGGAUUUGAUUCACAUUGUUAAAUACUUGAUGCAAGUUGGAAAAGCCAACUUUACAUUCUUUUGCUUGUGAGCAGAAUAAAUUCCCCAAGACAAAAACCAAGAAGGAUGACUGACCUAACUCAGCUUUUGUGCCUUUAUUUGUUCAGGAAGUCGAAAGUGCCAUGAGUUUGAUUAAAUCAAAUAAAUAU